AUACCAGAUUUACUACAUAUACCUUCAUUGGCCAAACAAGGCAGGCAGCCAACAGCCCACUCCAUGCAUCAGCCAUGGCUACGUCUUGUUUCUGCAGCCAAAUAGAAUGGCGAGGCGUAUGGUGGAAGGUAUCAAGAAGCUGGGAGUUAAGACCUGUUAAGAAGGUCCACAAAAGAAUCCGGAUCUUCGUUACUGAGAGCAUCUAAUUAUG
rnacentral:lncRNA from 1 species